rnacentral:rRNA from 1 species
UGGUCAAGUUAUUAAGGGUGCAGGGUGGAUGCCUUGGCACUAGGAGCCGAUGAAGGACGUGAUAAGCUGCGAUAAGCUUCGGGGAGUUGCACGUAAACUUUGAUCCGAAGAUUUCCGAAUGAGGAAACUCACUUAGAGUAAUGUCUAAGUAUCAUUAAGUGAAUACAUAGCUUAAUGAGGGGAACUCAGGGAACUGAAACAUCUAAGUACCUGAAGGAAGAGAAAGAAAUUCGAUUCCGUAAGUAGCGGCGAGCGAACGCGGAUUAGCCCAAACCAAUAAAGUUUUCUUUAUUGGGGUUGCGGACAUAUCAUAACGAAG